GGGAAGGAUGAGAAGCUUCGACUAAGGUUCGACUCGAGCGAAGCGAGAGAACGUUGCCGCAGGCAAUGGCCCGAAGGCGAGGCGCUUUAGCGCCGAGUAAUCCUUACCCCACCACUG
rnacentral:sRNA from 1 species